AUGUCUACACUACGUAGCGGUCGUAAAAAGCAGCCAGCCAGCCCUGAUGGUAGAGCCUCACCUAUUAAUGAAGACAUUCGUUCCAGUGGCCGCAACUCUCCUAGCGCUGCCAGCACCUCCAGCAAUGACAGCAAAGCAGAUUCAGUGAAGAAAUCUACCAAGAAGAUAAAAGAAGAGGUAUCUUCUCCUCUCAAGAACUCCAAGAGGCAGCGGGAAAAGACAGCUUCUGACACAGAGGAACCUGACAGGUCCAAUGCCAAAAAAUCCAAAACUCAAGAGAUCAGCAGGCCAAACUCUCCCUCUGAGGGUGAGGGUGAAGGUGAGAGCUCUGACAGCCGCAGCGUCAAUGACGAAGGGAGCAGUGAUCCCAAGGACAUUGACCAGGAUAACCGGAGCACAUCACCCAGCAUCCCUAGCCCUCAAGACAAUGAGAGCGACUCGGAUUCAUCCGCUCAACAGCAAGUGCUGCAGGCGCAGCCCCAAGCGCUUCAGGCACAGAGUGGUUCUGGCCAAGUUCCUCCUCCUACACCACC